UUUGUAUUUCGUAUUGAAUUAUUAGGUACUGGUGAUCACCUGUAUCAUUUUGCAUAGUUAAGAUUAACAAUAUUUGAAAAAAAUAAGUGUUCAUAAAUGUUCUCUAAUUUUGAUCACCAAUUUAUGUGUACAUGUAAUAUUUAAAACAAUGAGGUUGAUAUUAAUUACGUUUUAAGUUUCUAAGCAUUGCAAAUUUUUUUUAAUUAAUUCAAGUGUGUAUUGUAAAUAUUUAAGUUAUUCACAUGCAAAAUGCAGUCACACUAAUACUGAUAAACAACACAUGCCUACUUUAAGAAGUUGUGCUUGUAUUCUGCUUACAUCAAGAUUUUCUUACUCUACCUAAUUAUCAGCACAUAUUGGAUAUUUACAUUUGUAUGUGAAAGACUUAUUUGUUUUUGUUACAGUAACAAGACAAAACGAAUAUCUUCAGGCACAUGGAUACUAAUUAAAAACAAGUGUGAUUUACCCUUGAUCAGGAGGUGCUGGUGCUUUAUUCUAUUGGAGAAUUUUGCUGUUGGAAGUUAUCUCUUUCUCUGUGGCUAACGUGUGAAUAUUUCGUACAGGACAAAGGCGUUCACUAAAGGAACCACUAAUAAAAAAGGACCUCCA